CUACAGGCUUAACACAUGCAAGUCGAGGGGCAGCAUGGUCUUAGCUUGCUAAGGCCGAUGGCGACCGGCGCACGGGUGAGUAACACGUAUCCAACCUGCCGUCUACUCUUGGACAGCCUUCUGAAAGGAAGAUUAAUACAAGAUGGCAUCAUGAGUCCGCAUGUUCACAUGAUUAAAGGUAUUCCGGUAGACGAUGGGGAUGCGUUCCAUUAGAUAGUAGGCGGGGUAACGGCCCACCUAGUCUUCGAUGGAUAGGGGUUCUGAGAGGAAGGUCCCCCACAUUGGAACUGAGACACGGUCCAAACUCCUACGGGAGGCAGCAGUGAGGAAUAUUGGUCAAUGGGCGAGAGCCUGAACCAGCCAAGUAGCGUGAAGGAUGACUGCCCUAUGGGUUGUAAACUUCUUUUAUAAAGGAAUAAAGUCGGGUAUGGAUACCCGUUUGCAUGUACUUUAUGAAUAAGGAUCGGCUAACUCCGUGCCAGCAGCCGCGGUAAUACGGAGGAUCCGAGCGUUAUCCGGAUUUAUUGGGUUUAAAGGGAGCGUAGAUGGAUGUUUAAGUCAGUUGUGAAAGUUUGCGGCUCAACCGUAAAAUUGCAGUUGAUACUGGAUAUCUUGAGUGCAGUUGAGGCAGGCGGAAUUCGUGGUGUAGCGGUGAAAUGCUUAGAUAUCACGAAGAACUCCGAUUGCGAAGGCAGCCUGCUAAGCUGCAACUGACAUUGAGGCUCGAAAGUGUGGGUAUCAAACAGGAUUAGAUACCCUGGUAGUCCACACGGUAAACGAUGAAUACUCGCUGUUUGCGAUAUACUGCAAGCGGCCAAGCGAAAGCGUUAAGUAUUCCACCUGGGGAGUACGCCGGCAACGGUGAAACUCAAAGGAAUUGACGGGGGCCCGCACAAGCGGAGGAACAUGUGGUUUAAUUCGAUGAUACGCGAGGAACCUUACCCGGGCUUAAAUUGCAGAUGAAUUACGGUGAAAGCCGUAAGCCGCAAGGCAUCUGUGAAGGUGCUGCAUGGUUGUCGUCAGCUCGUGCCGUGAGGUGUCGGCUUAAGUGCCAUAACGAGCGCAACCCUUGUUGUCAGUUACUAACAGGUUCCGCUGAGGACUCUGACAAGACUGCCAUCGUAAGAUGUGAGGAAGGUGGGGAUGACGUCAAAUCAGCACGGCCCUUACGUCCGGGGCUACACACGUGUUACAAUGGGGGGUACAGAGGGCCGCUACCACGCGAGUGGAUGCCAAUCCCCAAAACCUCUCUCAGUUCGGACUGGAGUCUGCAACCCGACUCCACGAAGCUGGAUUCGCUAGUAAUCGCGCAUCAGCCACGGCGCGGUGAAUACGUUCCCGGGCCUUGUACACACCGCCCGUCAAGCCAUGGGAGCCGGGGGUACCUGAAGUGCGUAACCGCGAGGAGCGCCCUAGGGUAAAACUGGUGACUGGGGCUAAGUCAUAACA
rnacentral:rRNA from 1 species